rnacentral:rRNA from 1 species
UAGGGAAUAUUAGAAAUGGACGAAAGUCUGAUCUAGCAACACCGCGUGUGCGAAGAAGGCCUUCGGGUUGUAAAGCACUUUUUGGAAGGAUUAGGAAGGAAUGUACUUCCAGAAUAAGUCUCGGCUAACUACGUGCCAGCAGCCGCGGUAACACGUAGGAGGCAAACGUUAUCCGGAUUUACUGGGCGUAAAGCGCGUGUAGGUGGUUCUGUAAGUAGGGCGUGAAAGCUCCUGGCUCAACUGGGAGAGGCCGUUCUAAACUGCAGAGCUAGAGGAUGGUAGAGGGAGGGGGAAUUCCCGGUGUAGAGGUGAAAUUCGUAGAGAUCGGGAGGAAUAUCAGUGGCGAAGGCGCCCAUCUGGACGGUAACUGACGCUGAGACGCGAAAGCGUGGGGAGCAAACA